ensembl:lncRNA
AGAUCCCACAUGCCCUGGGGCAGCUAAGCCUGCGCUGCAACCUCUGAGCCUGUGCGCUCUGGAGCCUUCGCACGGUGUCAGAGAAGCCCAUGUGCUACAGUGAAAGAUCCCGAAAGAUCCUGCAUGCCACAGCAAGACGCAGCCAAACACACACACAGACACACGCACACACGCGCGAUGAAUGAAUCAAAGGAGAAACGGAUCCUGGGCCCAGUGGAGGCACAUGCCCAAACCCACUUUGCUGCUCUUUCUAGGUGUGGUUUUCUGCACAGAGAGGAGAGGACAGGCAGCACCGCCCCCCAUGAGAGGAGAGGAGAUGCCCGUCACCCCUCCCAUUCUUGGGUUCCGCACGAGUCCCCGAGAAGUGCCUGGCACCCCUGUUUGCAGGCCUUCCCUGUGGGCCUCAGGCUCCUCCUGUUCUCUGGCUGCUGGAACAACCCACACCUGCAAGAGUGUGUGCAAUCCUCUUCAGAAACUCAGGGACUCUCAGGAGGGGGCGGGAGGGCUCUGAGGCUGUCCAAAGGAGCGGGGCAUUGCCACCCUGCAGGUCUGAAUGCAGCUCCCACCGUCAGACCAGGUCAUCCAUUCAUUUACUGAGUUGGUCCAUCGGUCAGUCAGCAAACCUUCUGGGGAUCCAGAGAAAGGGAACACAGAGUCCCUGCACAUUAGGAACGCGUGUUCCAGGGAAGGAGACAGACAACCAAGGAGAUGAUUACAGCUGGGUGUGCGAGAGGAGCGUGCGGUUGCUGACUCCCACAGUAGCCCCAGGGGCUCCCAGGGAACAGGGACUAGGCCUCCCUGCCCCCUGCUCAGACACCAGAGGGUGGGGACUGUGGGAGGCAUCAGAGCAACGACUCCCCAAGGACACUCUGGAAUCACAUCUUCCAUCGGCCUGGGAAUCCUGGAGAGAAUUCUACAGAGUUCCCCAAGAGUGGAAGGGCUGCACCUCAUUAGACCAAUCACUUGCUGAGGAUGAGAAAAGCAUGCUGUAAAUUGGAAAACCCUGGGUGAAGCUGAGAGCGGCGAGGGCUCUCUCUGAAACCCUGGCUGAGGCUGAGAGCGGCAAGGGCUCUCUCUGAAACCCUGGCUGAGGCUGAGAGCGGCGAGGGCUCUCUCUGAAACCCUGGGUGAAGCUGAGAGCAGAGAGGGCGCUCUCUGAAACCCUGGCUGAGGCUGAGAGUGGCGAGGGCUCUCUCUAGACUAGGAUCCUCCUGGGAGCACGGGCUGUGCCUCCCUCAUCAGACUGGAACCCCCUGAGUCCGGGGCUAGGCCUCUCCCAUCCAAUGGACGUUCCUGUUUUAAUUCUGAAGCCCCAGAAGUUUCUGCACCCGGGCUGGGCUUAGUGAACCCACUUGCCCCGCUUCCGCUCCUGUUUUAAUUCUGAAGCCCCAGAAGUUUCUGCACCUGGGCUGGGCUUAGUGAACCCACUUGCCCCGCUUCCGCUCCUGUUUUAAUUCUGAAGCCCCAGAAGUUUCUGCACCCGGGCUGGGCUUACUCAACCCACCUGCCCCGCUUCCACGGAUGCUGCUGGAUCAUUCACCCUCAGCAGAAAGGCUUCACUGACUCACCCGAACACUUUCUGCUGCUUAUAAAGGAAACGUGGCUGAACUCUGAGAUGACAUUUUUAAAACCGCUUAUUCAGCCACAAAUCAUAUAUCACACAGUGCACGAAAUACCUCUGACUGAAAUUUAUACUAGCGUGUAAAUGACUUUAUAACACGUACUUAUCAUCUUGGACCUAGAAGGAAACUUGGUGUUCCAGUUCUCAAAUGCAGGCGCUGCGCAUGGAAUCACCUGGAAAACUUUUAAAAAUAUUAAUGCCCAUACUGCAUUUCAGAACAGUUAAGUCAGAAUUCAUGGCACUGAGAUCCAGGCAUCCAUGUGUUUGAAAUUCCCCAGGGAUUCUAAUGUGUAGCCAGGUUUCAGCAGUGUUCUAGAAAAACCUUCCCAAUACAGGAGUCACAGUUAUUUAUUCCACAGACACGUAGGAAGCACCUAUUCAGUGCCCCAAAUCAGAACAGUCUCAAUCUCUCCUACCAUGGCUGUUCGUUCUCGAGCCUUUUUUAGGGAGAUUCUUCCAGUGAUGGGGAGCCCACUCCUCGCAAGGCAGAUCUGUUCCCAAGAGCUGGUUUUUAGGGAGUAUGUCGGGAGGGAAGAUGAGUUGGAAAGAGGAAACGAAGACGCGUGGGGUCCUACUGUGCGCCAGCAGUGGUGUGAGCUACUUCACAGGCACCGUUUCAUUGAAAUCUCACCACAGCAUGACCGAGGGGAACCUGGGGCUCCGGGAAGUGAAGGGACUGACCCCACAACUCAGCCUGUGGCUGGGGAGGCCAGACCCACACCACAGAGUGUCUCUUGUUUAAGGGAGACGGGGGCUGGUGGGCAGGGUGGGGUGGGGUGCGGCGGGGUGGGCACAGGCUAGGCUCUAAGUCCAGGUGUCUGGAAAGACCUUCCAGGUCUCCCAUCAACUUCUUCUUUUAAAAUAUGUUUGUUUAUUUGGCCGUGCUGGGUCUUAAUUGCAGCCCGUGGGAUCUUACGUCCCUUCCAGGAACUGAACCCCCAUCCCCCGCAUUGGAAGGCAGACUCGUAACCACUGGACCGCCAGUGAAGUCCCUCCCACCACAUCCCAGACACGUUCUCUGCCCCGGUUUUCCUUCCCUCUUAUCCUUCAGGGCUGGGAGAGUAUGGCAAACUCAUUUGUCCAAAGUACUGGGGACCCAGGUCACAACCUGCAGCCGGGUAAAUUUACACAGAAAGGCACCCAAGCUGGGCAGGGCGACGCUCAGUGUAAAGGAACGACUCUCUAACGCGAUUCAGUGAGAUCCUGCUGGGUGGAGAGACACACUCAGGCAGGGUGCCCCCGAAUCACAGCCCAGAGGCGACAGCCCGCCUUCCCUAACCCCAUAAUGGGCACAUCCGUGCAGCAAGAGCCACCGGGCCCUGCUCCCUGUGCCGUUGCCGAACGCCACGUGCCUUCCCCGCUGUAUUUCCAGCCUUCACGGCAGCCCUGCGAACUCGGGAGCUUUGCGCUUGCUUUACUAAUAGCAGCAAGGCACAGGCAAGCCUGUCCCCAGAGCCUGCGUUCCUGCUCACUUACAUCCACGUUGUUCAGUCUGCAGGCUGUCACCCACUCGUGGGGUGUGAAAUCAGUGCAGUGGAUCCUGAGCACAACUUUUUAAUAGAAUAAGGUGGAAGAGAGCUUAAAAAAAAAAACAAAAAGCAGUUCACACCGUCAUGGAAGGCUGCUGUCAUAAAGCUGUGGCUUCAGGUGGGUAUGUGUGCGUGUUGUUGGAAAAUGGGGAUGAAAAUACAUUUCUCACAGUGAGUUUAAUCGAAACGUUCAAAAGUCAUUGCCUCACACUGUUGUCUCCUGGCUGCUGCUGGAAAGUGGCUUCCUUUCUUCCUGGGAGGACUGAGCGCAUGGGGUACUCCUCCAGGACACUCAGAGCAAGAGCGGGGGCAAGAAGCCGCCGUCGCCCUCCACCAGGAGCUCAUCCCGUUCAGAUGUUCCAGGCUGGUUUUCCACAACCCCCACCUCCCAGCUGAUCCCGGAGGCCAGCCCCAGGGGAAGGAGGCUACACGGCAGGCUGAGGGAUGAAGGUCACACACCAGGAAGACUUCCACGAGAGAGUGCUGGAGUCCACAGGGAGCAGAGCGAGAGGCGUGACGAUACAGCCUGCAUCCCGGAAGUCGUUUUUAAAAUUUCUUUAUUUUUUUUAACCCAUCCUUGAAGGUGAAAAUCAUGAAUGAAGCCGUAAAAGGAAAGAUGACGUGUCCGUGGCUCCUUUUUCAACGGCACGUGGACAGAGAACGCAAGCAGACCACGUGAUCCAUCGAGCCAAAACCCUCUGUUGUUCUGCACGCUUACUGCUACUUCGCUGCUGCCGAUUGUUAAUUACUGUCAGGUAACACUUGGGAGAUUAAUGGACCUCUCAGUCGAAACAAUAAAGGCUAUUAAACUCACCUGGCAGAAAGCUGAGAGCGAGUUUUGCUGUGCUGCUCUUCCUGCCGCUGGGUGAUCCUGCAUCUCAGCCCACUGUCUCCUCAGUCCUGCUCACAACUAUUUGAGAGAGAAUCCUGAUCCUCCCGGACCACGGACCGAGCCCGUGUCUCCUACACUGGCAGGCGGAUUCCUUACCCGUGAGCCGCCAGCGAAGCCCCCUGGUGGGCCUGCAAAGCAGAGGCUGGUUUUCCAUCUAGAGCAGCUCGGCCGCUGUUUUCUGCAGGCAGACGAGGAAGCGGUGAAGAUGAAGCGAAAGACUGCCCUGAAAGAGACGGCCACGGCACUGGAACCACAUCAGGGUCUUUUCAAACAAGUCAGCUCUUCGCAUCAGAUGGCCAAAGUAUUGGAGUUUCAGCUUCAGCAUCAGUCCUUCCAGUGAAAACUCCGGACUGAUCUCCUUUAGGACGGACUGGUUGGAUCUCCUUGCAGUCCAAGGGACUCUCAAGAGUCUUUACAACACCUCAGUUCAAAAGCAUCACAUCAAUGAAGAGGUCAAAAUCUCUGGCAGCAAGUGAGGCUGGAUACAAGUGCUCUGCACCUUCUCUCAACCUCUUGCAGGGCUGGUCCCUCUCACCGGCUGGCCCGGCCCUGGCCCAAGGGGGCUCACCUCCAUCACUUGGAGUAGAAAGGAGAAAGCCUGUCACUCCCAGCAUUCCCAGCUCCAAGUCCUGGGAUUCACUCUGAUUGGUCCUGCUUUGGUCACAUGUUCACCUCUGAGCCAAUCCCUGUGGCCAGAGAAACAGAACGCACCAAUUGGCUUAGUUUGAAUCACGGGCUCCAGUCCUUGGUCCCUGCUCUGGUAAGAGAAAUGGGAAAGGGGAGAUGGAUGCUUGGAGAAGCAGAGAGCAAGUCUCUAUUCCCUCAGGCUCUGGUUCCAUUUCUGCCGCUGCCUGGUCAUGUGACCUGGGCCAUCCAUUCCCCUUUAUAGGCUCAGUGGACUACAGUAAAUGAUUUAAAAUCUUGACUUCAUUUUUUUUUUUUUUUUAACUUUUUUUCAAACUCUUACAUGGAAGUGCACUGUGUGAGUCAGGUCCAACCGGACAGUCUGUCCUGGAGGUGGGGGAAGGGCGAGGCCCCUCGGCCUCCAGGCCCCCUUCCUUGCCCCGUGGGGGCCCCAGGAUUCCCACUGUCCCCGCCACCCUGGCAGCCCACGGCCACCUGAGUCAGCAUGAGCCCUGCACCUCUCCUGCACACCAUCCAGGGAACCCUGGACACGGCGAGGUGGCAGCCGCAGGGUCUCAGUGUCCAAAGGGGAGGCUAGGGAUUUGUGAACCCCACUCCCACCAAGGCCCAGCCCCUCAGCACCCUCAGCUGUUUCAGAAAGUCCCUGUCCCUGACCAUGACCUCACCCUGACAAGGAAAUGGUGGGCGUGGGACGGUACAGGCAGAGACUUUAUCUCUGUGGGCGGCUGGGCCAGAAGCCAGGCUGGGGGAGAGAGGGUGACAGCUGUGAACAGAGCCACCUUUGACUCUGGAGGACAAUGCCCUCCCAGUGUCCCCAUAACCCCUUCCUGGUCCCCAGAGCAGGUUAGGUCAAUACUGAGUUGUUUCAAGAUGAUCAUAAAGAGUGACAGCCAAGCUCCUCUCCUACCCUGGCAAUUCGCAGUGCAUAAAAUCCUUUCCUGCUCUUUGGCUCAAUUUUUUUUUUUGUUUAAAAAAUGCAUUGGGGGGUUGCACCACAUCUUGAAGCAAAUAGGACCUUUGAUCUUCGUUGCAGCCUGAGGGAUCUGUAGUUGCAGCAUGUGGGAUCUUGUUCCUCGACCAGAGAUCGAACCCGGGCCCCUGCACUGGGAGUGUGGAGUCCACCAGGAAGUCCCAGCUCAACUGUUUUUGACAACAGCCACAAGAGGCAGCGAGACAAGGGUUAGGUCCCAUUGUGUGAGCUGACAUUGACUGAGCCCCUGUUAAAAUGUUAGUCACUCAGUCGUGUCCGACUCUUUGUGACCCCAUGGACUGCAGCCCCCCGGGCUGCUCUGUCCACAGGAUUCUCCAGGCAAGAAUACUAAAGUGGGGCGCCAUUCCCUUCUCCAAGAGAUCUUCCCGACCCAGGGAUCAAACCCAGGUCUUCUGCAUUACAGGCGGAUUCUUUACCAUCUGAGCCACCAGGGAGCCCCUGCCCUGCGCUAAAUACCUUGUCGACUCAUGUCACCCUCAGUACUGAGAGGAGGCAGGCAGGCACUGUUGUUAUCCCUGUCUCCGAAGAGAACUCUGCAGAGACUUGGGUAGGUGAGCCCAAGCCACUCAGCUGGACAUGGCGAAGCUUCCUCCUGAACCCGUGUCUUCAACUCAAACCAUACGAGGAGCAGUUGACGCAACCACAGCUGCUGUUUCUGUGGAAGAAUAGACUGUCACCUUCGGCAAGUCCUCAAAGGACAGAAUAGGAGAGAAGGAGUGCGUGGGAAUUCUGAGGACAGAGCGAUGCCAACACCAGGAUGCUGCAGGGACACAGAUGCUGACUGGACCUGAGAAAGAACACGGUGACACCCAGAGCUGAGACCAAGGGGAGGGCAGCCUGGUGAGGCCGCGUGCGGGCGGAGGCUGGAUGGCACCGUGUACCUGGGGUUCCCACACUGCUGGGGGCUGGGCAAACACGGUCCCAAUGCUGGAGUUAGAAGUUUUAUGUAUUUCACUAGCAGACCCCGUCUCCGGCCUCAGCCCUCCCCACCCACUCUCCAGAGAACAUCCCUCCACCGUCUUCACCAAACUACCCGAAACUUAGCCGCAUACAACCGCCACCUUAUUACGCUCAGAGUCUUGUUGGUCAAGAGUGGACAGAGCCCAUCGGGGAUGCCCUGACCCCGCUCUGUGAUGUUUGGGGCCUCAGCUGGGAAAACUCAAUGCUGAGUGCCUCUGUGGGUGGGGCUGGAACCAUCUGGAGAGGUCUUCGCUCACAUGCCUGGUUGCUGAUGCGGGCCAUCAGCAGGACCUCAGCAGGGCUGUUGGCUGGACCACUUACCCAGGGUCUCUCCAAGCAGAUGAGUUUGGGCUUCCUCCCAGCAUGGCAGGCGGGUUCAAAGAACAAAUAUCCUGAGAGAGCAAGGUGGCAAAGCAUUUUUAUGAACUGACUUUGGAGAUCACAGAGUGUCAUCCACAAAGCUCCACCGUGUACCUAGGAAGCCCCUCCCGGGCCCAAGGAAGCGGACAGAGACCCCAGCACUGGAGGGGAGGAAUGUCAAAUCACGUUGAAAGAAGAGCAAGCGAGAUUGGAGAGCAUGCUAUAGCCGUCUUCGGAAAAAAGAAAAAAACCCGCGACACAGGCCCCUUCGGAUGGGGUUCCAGCCCUCAGCCUGGAUGAUGGGGUCCCACUUACGCCUCACUGGUCUCUGCACACGCACUUCCUUGGGACUAGAAAACUCAUCCACCAUCCCAAUCCACGCCCCCCUUUGCCUGGCCCAGCCCUACUUGCCCUCCACGGCUCAGCAGGGACACCACCUCCUCCCAGGAAGCCUGCCCUGAACCCUGCCCCCACCGCAGCCGAGAUGGGGCCCCCUUUCGACCACAGCCACAUGUGACCUGCUGGGUGCAGCGGCUUCUCUACUCUGCGAUCUCUAAUAAGAGGGUGGGCCCCACGAGGGCGUGAAUGGUGUUCACCACGUGUCUACCACUAUCUCCCCAGCACUGGGCCAAAUUCCAGCCCCUUUCUGGGUCCUGCUGAUGGACAGCCCACAGCCACUUCCCCCGGGAAGCCUUCCCGGGUUGUCCACGUGUGAGGUGUGUCUCCGGCUCUCCCGCAGGCCCCACUGCAGGCGUGUGGGAAGGCUGGGAUGAAAGCCCGGCGCUCCGCCCCUGUUCCCAAGCCAGAGCUUGUUAUUGCAGUAAAAGAGGCAGCAAAUUACCAGACGGGCUGGGAGCUGUAAUGAUUAAAACAGCGUAUUGUUCUUGGGGCUGCUAAUUGCAUACCUGAGAAAUGAGGCCUGCUCAGCCGUGGUGCCAGGCCCAGCCUGGCAGGGAGCCAGACACAGCCAGGCGACAGGGCAGAAGGGGGUGUCCCAGAAGCAGCAUGUCCCCAAAGGGAGUGGCUGAGCAGCCUCACUGGGGGGCCCCACUGAAAAUACAGAUUUCCAGGCCCUGGCUCAGACCCACUAACGCUGUAUCUGCGGGGGCAGGCCCAGGACCAUGGAUUCUUGACAAGCUCCCAAGGUGAUUCUGAAGGUCCAAGCCUGGGUUUCUGACUGCCCCACCCCAGAGCCAGAUGGAGGCCCGCCUCACUGGCCCAGUUCACCUGGAGAAUGAGGCAAGGCUGAGAGAGUGGCUGCGGGGGAGGGCAUGGAGAGGGCGGUUUCCCCGGGAACUCGGGUCAGAUCUCUUCCACAUGAGCUGGGGGACCCGGGGAGGGUCAGCUCGCCCCUCUGAGCACAGGCUGAUUUUCCCGGAAGCCAAGGGAGCGUAGGCUCGCAGAGCCCCCCGAGAAUCCGAGAGGGAGUUCACCAGGGGGUCCACCCAGCUGGCGUGUGUUGGGCCAUUUACAGAAGUAAGAUGCUUUGGUCUUCUUAGAGUCUCUCCAAAUUGCGUAGGCUUUGGGCUCGCCUAGAAUUGCAAGAGCCAUCACAGGGUGCUGCGGGGAUGGAAGGGGCAGAUGUAGAUCAAGCUGCAGCCCAGAGCCCGGCCACCAAGCGCUCAGGGAGAGAGCGCCUCCGCGUCCUCACCCGUGAGAGGGCCGUGGGGCCGCGGCUCCCUCCUGACGCCGUGCAAGCGUCCGAUGGGUGAAUACAGACGAAGCGCCCAGCUCAGCCCCUGGAGCAGGGCAAGUGCUCUGCACGCCUGGCCAGGCGUGACCCGCCGACGAGCAACCGUGGGACCCAGCGAGUGUGUGAGCAAGCGAGCAGGCCAGCUCGCGAGGGACACGUGAUGCGUGUGGAACCCUGUUCCCCGGAAACGCACAAAGACGCUGAGACCCCCUUUCGCCAAGCCAGUCUAAGAACCGGCCUGCCAAGGGGCAGGGGGCUGGGCUCAGCGACCCAGAUUUCCUGUAGGUCAGGACAAGAGCGACAGAAAAGCCUGGACCUUUGGCCAGUGGUUUCUGGGAAGACACCUGGAUCAGAGGAGGCUGGAAGGCUAGAACAGGAGGAGGGCUGGGGGCCGGAGUUUCAUCCAGGGCAACCCCGCUCCUGUACUCCCGGUUCUACCAGCAAUCAUGAAUGACAUUUUCAUGGAGGACUUCCUGGAGGAGGCGACUUUUGAGGGAGGGAAGUGACAGGGAAGGGCAGAAAGAAGUGCAAGCCAGGAGACACGGGACGCCCGAGUGUCAUCAGCGUCGCUGUGGACAUUAGGUGAGCACAUCCUGUGUCAGGAGUUGCCCAAGCGCUGAGCCCAGAUGGUCUCAUGUGGGGAGUUCUUGUCUUCUGUUUGUUUAUUUGCUUUAAAUCCCAUGGAUGGAGGAGCCUGGUGGGCUGCAGUCCAUGGGGUCGCUAAGAGUCAGACACGACUGAGUGACUUAACUUUGACUUUUCACUUUCAUUCAUUGGAGGAGGAGAUGGCAACCCACUCCAGUGUUCUUGCCUGGAGAAUCCCAUGGACAGAGGAGCCUGGCGGGCUGCCGUCUAUGGGGUCGCACAGAGUCGGACACGACUGUGGCAACUUAGCAGCAGCAGCAGCAUACUAAUAGUUUUAAAGCUUUGAAACAAUGUCAAACUUGUAGAUUUGCCCAUGUAAUACUAAGAUCUUGUUUUCUGGCUCCUUUGGAAAGUAAGCUGCUGACCUGAUACCACAUCAGCCCAAGCUCACUGGCGUCUACUUUCUACUAGGACGUCUCCCUACACAGCCACGGCAAAACCAUCGAUCAGGAAGUUAGCUUCCGAAACACUGUAUCUUCUGCUCACCAGGCCCCGUGCUGGGUCGUCAACAGUCCUGGCGAUGCCCUUUGCAGCCAAAGCACCCAGUUCACAGACCUGAGUCGUCAGUUUUCUCAUUCUGGACGAGUUACUCACGCUCCCUUUCACAGCCCUGACAUCGUUCAAGAUUUCAGGUCAGCUGGUUUGUAGAGUUUGGGUUUGGCUGCUGUUUGCUCACGGCUGGGUGCAUCUGUGCCAGGCCUCUCCCAGGUGGCACCUGCUUGGUUUUGAAUUUGUUCCAUCAUGACACGUCCCCGUGUCAGCUGGGGUCCCUUGAUGGAGGUGGUAUCUGCCUGGUUUCCACCAUCGAGCGAGUCUUCCCCACUUUGUGAUUAAGGAGUAUUUUGUGAGGAGACGCUGUGAGACUGGGUCCUUAUCACCAAAGUGUCCAAUUAUUCACUUAUUUAUAGCAGGGUGGACUCAUGUUUCCUAUUGCAUUCAGCCGUUUGGCCUAAUCCAUGCUUAUGCUAAUGCUCAAAUUGCCCCAGAGCUGGCCAGCGGUUACCCCUCGAGUGGGUCCCAGGGCAUUUGGGC